rnacentral:tRNA from 1 species
CAAGCAGCCCUGUGGUAUUGACGCUAGAGUGCAAAUCUAGAGACGAACCCUAACGGUGUUCCAG